AACAGGAUUAGAUACCCUGGUAGUCCACGCCGUAAACGAUGUCGACUUGGAGGUUGUUCCCUUGAGGAGUGGCUUCCGGAGCUAACGCGUUAAGUCGACCGCCUGGGGAGUACGGCCGCAAGGUUAAAACUCAAAUGAAUUGACGGGGGCCCGCACAAGCGGUGGAGCAUGUGGUUUAAUUCGAUGCAACGCGAAGAACCUUACCUACUCUUGACAUCCACGGAAUUCGGCAGAGAUGCCUUAGUGCCUUCGGGAACCGUGAGACAGGUGCUGCAUGGCUGUCGUCAGCUCGUGUUGUGAAAUGUUGGGUUAAGUCCCGCAACGAGCGCAACCCUUAUCCUUUGUUGCCAGCGAUUCGGUCGGGAACUCAAAGGAGACUGCCGGUGAUAAACCGGAGGAAGGUGGGGAUGACGUCAAGUCAUCAUGGCCCUUACGAGUAGGGCUACACACGUGCUACAAUGGCGCAUACAAAGAGAAGCGACCUCGCGAGAGCAAGCGGACCUCAUAAAGUGCGUCGUAGUCCGGAUCGGAGUCUGCAACUCGACUCCGUGAAGUCGGAAUCGCUAGUAAUCGUGGAUCAGAAUGCCACGGUGAAUACGUUCCCGGGCCUUGUACACACCGCCCGUCACACCAUGGGAGUGGGUUGCAAAAGAAGUAGGUAGCUUAACCUUCGGGAGGGCGCUUACCACUUUGUGAUUCAUGACUGGGGUGAAGUCGUAACA
rnacentral:rRNA from 1 species